UUUGAAAAUAAUUUAAAGUAGGGCCUGCCCACUGAGUAUUGAAGGGCCGCAGUAUUUUGACUGUGCAAAGGUAGCAUAAUCAUUAGUUUUUUAAUUGAAAGCUUGUAUGAAUGGUUUGAUGAGAAAAUAACUUUCUAUAAUUAAUUUUUUAAUAAUUUUAUUUUUAAGUUAAAAAGCUUAAAUAUUUUUAAUAGACGAGAAGACCCUAUAGAGUUUAAUUAUAAAUAAUUAUUAAUAAUUUUUAGAAUUUUGAAUUUAAAUAUUUAUUAUAAUUUGAUUGGGGUGAUUGAAAAAUUAAAGUAACUUUUUUUUUAUAAAACCAUUAAUUUAUGAAUAUAUGAUCCAUUUGAAUGAUUAAAAGAUUAAAUUACCUUAGGGAUAACAGCGUUAUUUUUUUUUAGAGUUCAAAUCGAAAAAAGAGAUUGCGACCUCGAUGUUGGAUUAAAGUAAAUAUUUGGUGUAGGAGCUAUAAUAUUUGGUCUGUUCGACCAUUAAAACUUUACA
rnacentral:rRNA from 1 species